rnacentral:rRNA from 1 species
CCUACGGGAGGCAGCAGUGAGGAAUAUUGGUCAAUGGACGAGAGUCUGAACCAGCCAAGUAGCGUGAAGGAUGACUGCCCUAUGGGUUGUAAACUUCUUUUAUAAAGGAAUAAAACGAGGCACGUGUGCCUUUUUGCAUGUACUUUAUGAAUAAGGAUCGGCUAACUCCGUGCCAGCAGCCGCGGUAAUACGGAGGAUCCGAGCGUUAUCCGGAUUUAUUGGGUUUAAAGGGAGCGUAGAUGGGUUGUUAAGUCAGUUGUGAAAGUUUGCGGCUCAACCGUAAAAUUGCAAUUGAUACUGGCAGUCUUGAGUACAGUUGAGGUAGGCGGAAUGUGUGGUGUAGCGGUGAAAUGCUUAGAUAUCACGAAGAACCACGAUUGCGAAGGCAGCUUACUAAACUGUGACUGACAUUGAUGCUCGAAAGUGUGGGUAGCAAACAGGAUUAGAUACCCCAGUAGUC